rnacentral:lncRNA from 1 species
UUUUAUUGAUGCAUUCCGCUUGAGAAUGAAGAAGAAGAGAGAUCCUCUUUUUAACAGGAAAAUUUGGUCACGUAGAUCUUCUAUUUCGCCGGAAUUCGUUGAUUGCUCCGUACGAAUUUACAAUGGAAAAACUCCUGUUCGUUGUAAGAUUACUGAAGGAAAGGUUGGUCAUAAAUUUGGAGAGUUUGCUUCUACACGGAAACGAAGACCUUCGAGAACAAAUAUUGGACCUCAGAAUUCGUUAGUUUCUCUGUACGAAUUUACAAUGGAAAAAAUCUUGUUCGUUGUAAGAUUACUGAAGGAAAGGUUGGUCAUAAAUUUGGAGAGUUUGCUUCUACACGGAAACGAAGACCUUCGAGAACAAAUAUUGGACCGGGAAGAAAAAAGGGGAAAAAGUAAAGUCUAAGCGCAUAUGGCACGAAAAGGAAAUCCUAUUUCGGUAAGACUUGAUCUGAAUCGUAGUUCAGAUUCAAGUUGGUUUAGUGAGGGCGACCGCGAAAGUCACCGAAUGGGUCAGUCUUUUAGUUCUCCCAGAUUAGAAUAUCAAAGGAGGACGUUGCAGAUGC